rnacentral:rRNA from 1 species
AGAGUUUGAUCCUGGCUCAGGACGAACGCUGGCGGCGUGCUUAACACAUGCAAGUCGAACGGUAAGGCCCCAGCUUGCUGGGGUACACGAGUGGCGAACGGGUGAGUAACACGUGGGUGACCUGCCCCGCACUUCGGGAUAAGCCUGGGAAACUGGGUCUAAUACCGGAUAGGACCGCACCGUGAGGGUGUGGUGGAAAGUUUUUCGGUGUGGGAUGGGCCCGCGGCCUAUCAGCUUGUUGGUGGGGUAAUGGCCUACCAAGGCGGCGACGGGUAGCCGGCCUGAGAGGGUGGACGGCCACAUUGGGACUGAGACACGGCCCAGACUCCUACGGGAGGCAGCAGUGGGGAAUAUUGCACAAUGGGCGGAAGCCUGAUGCAGCGACGCCGCGUGGGGGAUGACGGCCUUCGGGUUGUAAACUCCUUUCACCAUCGACGAAGGUUUUCUGACGGUAGAUGGAGAAGAAGCACCGGCUAACUACGUGCCAGCAGCCGCGGUAAUACGUAGGGUGCGAGCGUUGUCCGGAAUUACUGGGCGUAAAGAGCUCGUAGGUGGUUUGUCGCGUCGUCUGUGAAAUUCCGGGGCUUAACUCCGGGCGUGCAGGCGAUACGGGCAUAACUUGAGUACUGUAGGGGAGACUGGAAUUCCUGGUGUAGCGGUGAAAUGCGCAGAUAUCAGGAGGAACACCGGUGGCGAACGCGGGUCUCUGGGCAGUAACUGACGCUGAGGAGCGAAAGCAUGGGUAGCGAACAGGAUUAGAUACCUGGUAGUCCAUGCCGUAAACGGUGGGCGCUAGGUGUAGGGGUC